rnacentral:pre_miRNA from 1 species
AAUAACUUUAUUUUUCAGUUUUUAGAUAAAAUGUUUUGACUCUAUGUCUUAUUUAAAAUUUUUUAUAAUUAAUAUUUUUGUUGUUACUAGAUGAUAAAAACAUGAAUAUUACUUUAUAUAUGACUAAUUUUUUUAAGUUUUUUAACAAAAUUUUCAAAUAAGACUAAUGGUCCAAUGUUAGACACAAAAAUCAGAAAUGAAGUUAUU